rnacentral:tRNA from 1 species
AGGGGGCACCUGGAUUUGAACCAGGGACCUCUUGAUCUGCAGUCAAAUGCUCUACCCCUGAGCUAUACCCCU